rnacentral:rRNA from 1 species
GUGAACCUGCGGAAGGAUCAUUAUUGAAAUAAAUCUGAUAAGUUGUUGCUGGUUCUCUAGGGAACAUGUGCACACUUGUCAUCUUUAUAUCUCCACCUGUGCACCUUUUGUAGACCUGGAUAUCUCUCUGACUGCUAGACACUCAGGUUUGGGGAUUGACUUAUGUCUUUCCUUAUAUUUCUCGGUCUAUGCUUCUUCAUAUACCCAAUUGUAUGUUAUAGAAUGUAACCAAAUGGCCUUUGUGCCUAUAAAUCUAUACAACUUUCAGCAACGGAUCUCUUGGCUCUCGCAUCGAUGAAGAACGCAGCGAAAUGCGAUAAGUAAUGUGAAUUGCAGAAUUCAGUGAAUCAUCGAAUCUUUGAACGCACCUUGCGCUCCUUGGUAUUCCGAGGAGCAUGCCUGUUUGAGUGUCAUUAAUAUAUCAAUUCUUUUCAGCUUUUGCUUGUUGAGUGUUGGAUGUGGGGGGUCAUUUUUUGCUGGUCCUUUCAGAUCAGCUCCCCUGAAAUGUAUUAGCGGAACAAUUGUAAACCGUUCAUUGGUGUGAUAACUAUCUACGCUAUUGACGUGAAGCACAGUUCAGCUUCUAACAGUCCAUUGACUUGGACAAAUUUUCAUUAAUGUGACCUCAAAU